UACGGAGGAUCCGAGCGUUAUCCGGAUUUAUUGGGUUUAAAGGGUGCGUAGGCGGUUUGAUAAGUUAGAGGUGAAAUGUCGGGGCUCAACCCCGAAACUGCCUCUAAUACUGUUGACUAGAGAAUAGUUGCGGUAGGCGGAAUGUAUGGUGUAGCGGUGAAAUGCUUAGAGAUCAUACAGAACACCGAUUGCGAAGGCAGCUUACCAAACUAUAUCUGACGUUGAGGCACGAAAGCGUGGGUAGCAAACAGG
rnacentral:rRNA from 1 species